rnacentral:tRNA from 1 species
CAGGGAGACAACAAAAUGUUAAAUAUUAAUUUUGUCACCUUAGGUCGAUCGGUAUCUCACAUUCUUAAUUUAUUUAAGGAUUUUAUUUCCUAAGUUUUUUCUAGGUCACACCCAUAAUUUUUCCUGGGCCAUUAGCUCAGGUGGUUAGAGCGCACCCCUGAUAAGGGUGAGGUCCCUGGUUCAAGUCCAGGAUGGCCCAUAUCUCUAUGUUGGGGGUAUAGCUCAGUUGGUAGAGCGCCUGCUUUGCAAGCAGGAUGUCAGCGGUUCGAGUCCGCUUACCUCCACUGAUUACCACCUCUUCCAUAACCGGUAGAAAGGAAAUGUUUUGAGUUGUGAUCAAAUUCUGAAAGAAUCUAGCUUCCUAAUGAAAUCAUUAAGAUGCUGGACUCAUUGAAUUAAUUUUCAUUGUUUUCAGAGAACCUUGACAACUGCAUAGAUUAUUUUUAAAGACAAUAAGCAUCUUUAAUGAUGCAGAUUUAUUAUUUGUGCGAAUGCAUUAAUAACAAUUCUAUUAAGCUGAUGCUUCAAUUUUUGAAGUUAUU